rnacentral:misc_RNA from 1 species
GAAAUGCGAUAAGUAAUGUGAAUUGCAGAAUUCAGUGAAUCAUCGAAUCUUUGAACGCACAUUGCGCCUAUUAGUAUUCUAGUAGGCAUGCCUGUUCGAGCGUCAUUUCAACCCUCGAGCUCCCCUUUCGGGGGGAGCCCGGCGUUGGGGACCCGGCGCUAACAACGCCGGCCCCGAAAUGGAGUGGCGGCCCGUCCGCGGCGACCUCUGCGUAGUAACAACCACUCGCACCGGGACCCGGGCGCGGCCACGCCGUAAAACACCCCACCUUCCGAAUGUUGACCUCGAAUCAGGUAGGAAUACCCGCUGAACUUAAGC